UACGAGAGGCCCAAACGUUAUUCGGAAUCACUGGGCUUAAAGAGUUCGUAGGCGGUCUGGAAAGCUGGGUGUGAAAGCCCUCGGCUCAACCGAGGAACUGCGCUCAAAACUACCAGACUUGAGGAAGAUCGAGGUGAGCGGAACUGAUGGUGGAGCGGUGAAAUGCGUUGAUAUCAUCAGGAACACCGGAGGCGAAGGCGGCUCACUGGGUCUUUUCUGACGCUGAGGAACGAAAGCUAGGGGAGCAAACGGG
rnacentral:misc_RNA from 1 species